rnacentral:snRNA from 1 species
CACUUCAGAUCAUAUAAAUCUUUUGCCUUUUACUAAAGAUUUCUGUGCAGAG